GCAAGUUCUGCCUCUGCUUGGAACCAUCAGCAUGGACGGGGUCCACUGCCUGCAGUUUGUCCAACAGAGCCCUCUCGUCGGCCGGGAGGCCAGGAACCCCCUUCGUCCAGGUGCUGGAGAAGCUCUCCAUCUAUGCAGCAUUCUCUUGAGAAGAGUCAGCUGGGGCUCCCAUCCUGAAGGGAGCUUCUGAGCCAGCAAGACGGCAAACACCUCUGAUGGUGCCUGGGACAACAGUGUGUUCGGUGACUGGGAAUGCCGACGAAUGACUGAAUGGAUGGCCUUCUUAGACAGCCAGACUUCCCGUUGCUGAGACCUCCGACACUUUCUGAAAAGCCCUCGAGGCUGUGAGCAGCCCUCUCACACUGAGUUGAACGCAGAGGACUUCAAAGAUCUUGAGGACCUAGAAGAAGGCAGAGCCACAACAUGCAAGGAGCCUGGGGCCCCCAGCGGGAGCAGAGCCGUUCCCGUCGCUGACCACGAUGCACUACCGCAUGAUGGAAGGAUCCCUGACCGAUACGGAGGCAUUUAUGCACUAAGCAUGUUCCAAGGAGGCGCCUUAGAAGGGGGCAUGGUCAUCAUACCUUCC